UACGUAGGGGGCAAGCGUUGUCCGGAUUCAUUGGGCGUAAAGGGCGCGUAGGCGGCGGGGUAAGUCGGGUGUGAAAUCUCAGAGCUCAACUCUGAAACUGCACUCGAUACUGCUCUGCUUGAGGACUGGAGAGGAGACUGGAAUUCACGGUGUAGCAGUGAAAUGCGUAGAUAUCGUGAGGAAGACCAGUGGCGAAGGCGGGUCUCUGGACAGUUCCUGACGCUGAGGCGCGAAGGCCAGGGGAGCAAACGGG
rnacentral:rRNA from 1 species